rnacentral:rRNA from 1 species
CAGUAGCCGCGGUAAGACAGAGGAUGCAAGCGUUAUCCGGAAUGAUUGGGCGUAAAGCGUCUGUAGGUGGUUUUUUAAGUCUGAUGUGAAAGCCCACGGCUCAACCGUGGAGGGUCAUUGGAAACUGGAAAACUUGAGUGCAGAAGAGGAAAGUGGAAUUCCAUGUGUAGCGGUGAAAUGCGCAGAGAUAUGGAGGAACACCAGUGGCGAAGGCGACUUUCUGGUCUGUAACUGACGCUGAGGAGCGAAAGCGUGGGGAGCGAACAGGAUUAGAUACCCGUGUAGUCCCUGUCUCUUAUAA